rnacentral:rRNA from 1 species
GUGAGGAAUUUUCCGCAAUGGGCGAAAGCCUGACGGAGCAAUGCCGCGUGAAGGAUGAAGGCCUAUGGGUUGUAAACUUCUUUUCUCAGAAAAGAAUUAUGACGGUAUCUGAGGAAUAAGCAUCGGCUAACUCUGUGCCAGCAGCCGCGGUAAGACAGAGGAUGCAAGCGUUAUCCGGAAUGAUUGGGCGUAAAGAGUCUGUAGGUUGUUUAAAAAGUAUUCUGUCAAAGAUUAGGGCUUAACCCUAGAUAGGCAGAAUAAACUUUUAAGCUAGAGUUUGGUAGAGGCAGAGGGAAUUCCCGGUGGAGCGGUGAAAUGCGUAGAUAUCGGGAGGAACACCAAAGGCGAAGGCACUCUGCUGGGCCAAUACUAACACUGAGAGACGAAAGCGAGGGGAGCAAAUGGGAUUAGAUACCCUUGUAGUCC